UCAGGACGAACGCUGGCGGCGUGCCUAAUACAUGCAAGUCGAACGGCUUUUCUAUGGAAGCUUGCUUCCACUGAGAAGAUAGUGGCGAACGGGUGAGUAACACGUGGGUAACCUGCCCAUAAGAGGGGGAUAACAUCCGGAAACGGGUGCUAAUACCGCAUAGUUUUCUUGAUCGCAUGAUCGGGAAAGGAAAGACGGCCUUUGUGCUGUCACUUAUGGAUGGACCCGCGGCGUAUUAGUUAGUUGGUGAGGUAACGGCUCACCAAGACGAUGAUACGUAGCCGACCUGAGAGGGUGAUCGGCCACAUUGGGACUGAGACACGGCCCAUACUCCUACGGGAGGCAGCAGUAGGGAGUUUUCGGCAAUGGGGGAAACCCUGACCGAGCAACGCCGCGUGAGUGAUGAAAGGUCUUCGGAUUGUAAAGCUCUGUUGUAGGGGACGAAUGGCAAGGAGAGGAAAUGCUCUUUGCUUGACGGUACUCUACCAGAAAGCCACGGCUAACUACGUGCCAGCCGCGGC
rnacentral:rRNA from 1 species